UAAUCUUUUCUGCGUUUCACAAGCUUAUACGCCUGAAAAGCAAACAAUCAUCGUUUGUAAAGGAAUAAUCGAAGCUGUACACAUUCACAAAAGAGCUAUCGAAUUUUCCGAAUUCCUAUGGUCUACCUUGGCAGUAUCAUACAGCAUUAUGCUUAUAUUCGGUAUUACAUCUCUUCUUAUUAAUCUUUUCUGUCUUUUUCAAACAAUACUAUUUAUAAAGGAGACAAAUGAAUUAAUAAUGUUAAUUGUAUUCAACAUUGGUCACUUUUUUUAUUUAUUUUUGGGUAACUAUGUUGGUCAAAUUUUAAUAGAUCAUAGCGCUGGUAUUUUUGA